GCACUUUGGUGGAGUAGAGUUGUGUGUUCACUGAGAAGACUCCCAAUGACAGCACCUGACUUCACCUCUUCUGGUCUCCUGCCUCUAAAUCACAGGAUUGUCGGAAGGAGGCAUCACUCUGUGAGCAGAGCACACCACAGGAUGGAACUCCUACAUACCUGAUGUUUCAGAAAGCUCGGGCCCUACGCUGCACUGUGUCGACUUGGUGCCGAGGCGUCUUCAUCCUCAUGGAAUGGUCCGCUGAUCCUGGGAGGUCUCAGCUAGCGGGGGAGUACUGUCGCAGGUGGCUGGGUAUGGUCGGCAAUCAGUCGCCGCCCUGCAAUCAAGGCUGGAGUCGGGUGAGGAGGAGGACAAGGUCGAGGCAGAGAAGGCGAGGCCAGGUUCAAAGAGAGGUGAAGCGACUCACAGUAUUUAUCAAAAGGUAAGGACCAGUUGUGACAAAAUCUGUUUCUUUCUUGGUUAUUUAGUUUAUUGUAACAAAACUUUACUUUGACUGAUGUCUGUAGACUGCUGUGAAAGUGUUAAACAAAAAGACUCUGAGUAAUGCAGGCUGUCAUCUGUGGGAGUCUCAAAAGGGCAGUCCAGUGUCCUGCACUGUAAGCCACAAUAGGCAAUUGGGCCUGUCAUUAAGGGACUUAAAUUAAAUGGCUCGCCAUUAUCAUCAUGCCAACUGUUAGCUUCUAUGUAGCUUUCACUUCUGUCAUGCUUGCUUAAUAAAGUCAAAGCCAGUUAUGUAAGUCAGAUCUGCCAGCUAUUUUAAGACACUUGAAAGCUUAUGUGUUGAAUAUGGGUUGUGAACACUGGACGCCUGACACAGUAGCCAUUUAAACAUUCCAAUAGAGUAGUUGUUUCCAUACCAAGAUCUCCCUAAGCUGUUGGGUAUUGUAAUCAAGGCAUCUUCUUGUAAUUGAUCUCCGGAAUAUGUUAUUUGAAACUGUAUGAAAGAUAAUUGUUGAAACAAACCAGCCAUUUUAGGCAUGUGGGAAGGGAAGUACAGUGUAAUUCACAAUAUGUGUUAAACAUGAAGCCCUUGUCCCUGGUUCUAACCUAACAAAAUAAUUUUUGUGUAACCUCUGUCACAUUUAUUUAUGGAUCAUACGCAACAGAAAAGAAUGCAAUGACACAAUGUGCAUACCAUGAAAAUCAUCACAACUUUCUAAAAUGAAUUGUGAAAUAAAGGUGUAAUACACAUUAGAAAUUGAUAGUUUUAGCCUCUUUAUACUGUAUAUAAAGUGAUAUGACAUCCACCCAUCUGGCAUCUGUGCCCCUGCACUAUUGCACUAAUAUGGCACUAUUGAAUGUUAGAGCUUUAACUAACAAAACGAUUUUUAUCAACGAUCUUAUUAGU